rnacentral:lncRNA from 1 species
AAACUAGUGAUAAUCAUGAUUCCAAUCAGAGUUAAUUGAUGGAGAAAUAAUAUUAUUCUAUGUAACAUUAAAGGAAAAGACCACUGGUCUGGCCAUGUGAUAUGGUAGUGAAGUGGGUAUUUGUUGUAGGGUUAUGUAGAGGUUGAAUGGUGUCACUAGGGAGAGUGAAAGGUCUCUUGUGGUAACUAGAUGGGAAAAGGAACAAAGCCAAUAUGAACCCCCACAAAUUUAUGACUUUGUAUUUACAUGAGAACAAAAAAGACUAAGUAGAAGGAAUACGG